rnacentral:rRNA from 1 species
GACGAACGCUGGCGGCGUGCUUAACACAUGCAAGUCGAACGGGUCUGCCCUGUUUUUUGCGGGGUGGGUCAGUGGCGAACGGGUGAGUAACACGUGAGUAACCUGCCCCUCACUUCUGGAUAACCGCUUGAAAGGGUGGCUAAUACGGGGUGUUCUGGCUGUGCCGCAUGGUGUGGCUGGGAAAGAUUCACUUUUGUGGUGUUUUGGUGGGGGAUGGGCUCGCGGCCUAUCAGCUUGUUGGUGGGGUGAUGGCCUGCCAAGGCUUUGACGGGUAGCCGGCGUGGGGGGGUGGGCGGUCACACGGGGACUGAGAUACGGCCCAGACUCCUGCGGGAGGCAGCGGUGGGGGGUAUUGCACAAUGGGCGGAAGCCUGAUGCAGCGACGUCGCGUGAGGGAUGGAGGCCUUCGGGUUGUGAACCUCUUUCGCCGGUGAAGAAGGUCCUGCUCUUUGUGGUGGGGUUGACGGUAGCCGGGUUAUGAAGCGCCGGCUAACUACGUG